AUUGAACGCUGGCGGCAGGCCUAACACAUGCAAGUCGAGCGGAUGAAGGGGGCUUGCUCCUGGAUUCAGCGGCGGACGGGUGAGUAAUGCGCAGGAAUCUACCUCGUAGUGGGGGAUAACGUCUCGAAAGGGGCGCUAAUACCGCAUACGUUCUGAGGAAGAAAGCAGGGGACCUUCGGGCCUUGCGCUAUGAGAUGAGCUUGCGUCCGAUUAGCUAGUUGGUGGGGUAAAGGCUCACCAAGGCGACGAUCCGUAGCGGGUCUGAGAGGACGACCCGCCACACUGGAACUGAGACACGGUCCAGACUCCUACGGGAGGCAGCAGUGGGGAAUUUUGGACAAUGGGGGGCAACCCGUCGAGUCCAGCCGAUUCCGUCGUGAGUGAAGAAGGCC
rnacentral:rRNA from 1 species